UUUGCCAAGCACCUCUCCUCUAGGCCAUCCAUGAACUGACUAGGAGUGGGGGACAGGAGGGGACAAUGCCUUCAGGGAGCUCAGAUCUGAUGGAAGACUCGAAGCUAAGUAAUAGACUCAAAGGUGACAAGGGCUCUUCCUCAAGGUAUGUGCCAAGUGUCACCAAGCUACAGGUGGAGACCAUCACCCGGGAUGUUUUGCUUGAGCUGCUCUUAAAAGAUAAAGGGCUCCAGGCAGCCAUAAAAGGAAAGGCACUCAAGGUAGGGGAAAGUAUACACAAAGAACCUGUAGUACAAGAGAAUAUGACAUGUUCUGGUACUAGAAAGCAGUUAUGUGAGGCUAUUGGGCUUUGAAGCAUAUAGUUUUAGGGAAUGAAAUGCAGGAAGCAGCCUGAGGGUAGAAAGACUGAGUUUCCUUUGUCUUUGUGCCUUUAAGUACAAAGGCUAGUAAGUACUAGGCUGUGAGAAAAUGUGCUUGGAAUGAGUAGAGCACAAUACUUCCCAUACCAAAGGCUCCUAUUACCUAGAACUCGGUAGAUGCACGGGAAACAUUUAUAAGUGAGUAUUUGUUAGCAAUAACAAUAAAUAUUAUAAACAUAAAAACAAUAAUAAGUCUACAGCCUCAGCAGGUGAAAUUAUAUUCUUCCAGAUAAAGCCUCUAAGGUCACAAAGACCACCCUAAAAAUACAAUGUAUAAACGUGAUGUCACAGGUUUCAAAAAUAUGGUGGAGUUGUAAUGUACAGCUCCUGAAACGGGUGUCAGUGCUACAUCUCAGCUUGUGUAAUUAAUUUCUUUUCUUGUGCUAAACCCAUUUAUAAACCAACAAAGUUUUAUGUCUAUUUUAUUUCAUGGGCCACAGAUAUCUAUACUUUCAAAGUGCACAUGAACUUGAAAGAUUCCACUGGACAUGGAUCCCAAGGACUUGCUUUAAAUAGUUAUAGAUUCUAAUUUGGUAAACACAAAAACAUAAGCAGUCAAAUUGGUGGUUUUCUGACUAUUGAGUGCAUUUCCUUAGAGACUGUCAUUCAGGACAGAUUUUGUCUUUAUCAUGAUACCAAAUAUCAUUUGCAUUUAAAAAAAACUGUGUAUCCUAAACCAAGGUCAGUUAAUCUCCAAAAUCUUUCUUUCCCCCAAUUAUUGUGAGUGAGCAUCUUCCCAAUAUUCAAGAGAGGUGACCCUUGUGACUCGUUUCCAUCUACUAAAGAUGUAUCUCAACUUUGCAGAUUUUUUUUUUUGGCUGUACAGUGGAACUUGGAUUACACUUUAAAUUAACUUUCUCUAGGAAUCAAAGUAACCUCUGAGGACCUCAGCUUGCACAAAGAGGAUUGAGAUAACAUUUCCAAAGCUUGUUCUUCUUGAGCUGACCCAACACUUAGGAAAACAUGACAUGGAUCAGCAACUCCAUUUUCUGUGAGAAGUGCAACUGCUACUGACCAUCUGCACUGGCAUCUAGUCAAGCGAUUGUCUGAGGCAAGUAUCUGUCCUUCUAAGUGUCCUAAGGAAGCUUUGCUACCCAGCCCACCAAUGAACUUAAUGAAUGAAAGAGACCUUAUCCUGUUUGCAUGAGUUUAGUCGGGGGUAGUUCUCAUCACAUGCCAGCAACAUCCUCUUAAUAGUCCAACAUAAUUAAGGAAAUUGCACUAAAGAUGUC